ACCACUUCAUUUCCUCUAUGUAUCGUAAAAUGCAAUUGGAGAAAGGGAGAACUUGAGAGAAGAAGGAUAAAGCUAGUGGAAAGAAGAAGGAGGAGAAAAACUCGGAUUCCAUCAUCAUUACUUCACCUCACCGUCUUCAUCAACAUCCUCUUCUAUUUCUGAGGUAGUUCUGAUCAGGCGAAGGGAUCAUGGCUAACAGACGCAGAGCUCGUGGGAGACCCAGAACUCAGAAUUCAGAUUCAAAACCACCAAGUGGUAGUGAAGUUUUCAAUGGCCUCAGAUUGUGCAACAAAUGCCGCAGCAACAUAACCAAUUCAUGCACCAAAUGAUGCAACAGUUGAAUGGUGGUCUUCACCCUCAAGUGGUUCCACAAAAAGCUGCAGGUGGUAGUUUUCGAGAUUUCUUUCGCAUGAAUCCUCCUGAGUUCCCUUUUUCUCUUUUCCAUUUUUCUCUUCCUCUUAUUAGAAAACUAUUUUUUAGUUAAAUAGUCCAUCUUUUUAGAAAAUUACUUUAACAUAACAUAAA